AUCUUCCGCAAUGGACGCAAGUCUGACGGAGCAACGCCGCGUGAGUGAUGACGGUUUUCGGACUGUAAAACUCUGUCUGGUGGGAAGAACGGGCUAUAGGGAUAUAGUCGUGACGGUACCGCCGAAGGAAGCCCCGGCUAACUACGUGCCAGCAGCCGCGGUAAUACGUAGGGGGCGAGCGUUGUCCGGAAUUAUUGGGCGUAAAGAGCACGUAGGCGGUUUACCAAGUCAGUUGUGAAAACCCGGGGCUCAACUCCGGGACGGCAAAUGAAACUGGUAGGCUUGAGGACAGGAGAGGAGAGUGGAAUUCCUAGUGUAGCGGUGAAAUGCGUAGAUAUUAGGAGGAACACCAGUGGCGAAGGCGACUCUCUGGCCUGUAACUGACGCUGAGGUGCGAAAGCUAGGGGAGCGAACGGGAUUAGAUACCCCGGUAGUCCUAGCCGUAAACGAUGGGCACUAGGUGUAGGAGGUAUCGACCCCUCCUGUGCCGCAGCUAACGCAUUAAGUGCCCCGCCUGGGGAGUACGGCCGCAAGGUUGAAACUCAAAGGAAUUGACGGGGGCCCGCACAAGCAGUGGAGCAUGUGGUUUAAUUCGACGCAACGCGAAGAACCUUACCAGGGUUUGACAUCUCCUGGAGACAUAUGAAAGUAUGUUGGCCUCCUUCGGGAGGACAGGAAGACAGGUGGUGCAUGGUUGUCGUCAGCUCGUGUCGUGAGAUGUUGGGUUAAGUCCCGCAACGAGCGCAACCCCUGUUCUUUGUUGCUAGCAGGUAGAGCUGAGCACUCAAAGGAGACUGCCGGAGACAAUUCAGAGGAAGGUGGGGAUGACGUCAAAUCAUCAUGCCCUUUAUGCCCUGGGCUACACACGUGCUACAAUGGUCUGUACAACGGGACGCGAAGGGGUGACCCGGAGCCAAUCCUCAGAAAACAGAUCUCAGUUCGGAUUGCAGGCUGCAACCCGCCUGCAUGAAGCUGGAAUUGCUAGUAAUCGCGGAUCAGCAUGCCGCGGGAAUA
rnacentral:rRNA from 1 species